UUCCAUUAACCAACCAACCCCAGUCAAAUAUCACAGCAACGUCAAGAAAAGAUAGGCGAGCCUAUCGUGAUGUCAUCACAAGCCCAAUAGAACAUGCCUCUACUAGUUUGUAGCUGACUGAUGCCCUGUGGUGACACUGCUUAGAGGUGACAGGCAGAGAGGUAUCACUGUAGCUGACUGGUGCCCUGUGGUGACACUGCUUAGAGGUGACAGGCAGAGAGGUAUCACUGUAGCUGACUGAUGCCCUGUGGUGACACUGCUUAGAGGUGACAGGCAGAGAGGUAUCACUGUAGCUGACUGGUGUUGACGAGCAGAUGGCUGGUCACCUGUGUGUCUAAUGAAACAGAGAAACAGAUGAGAUCUGGCAGCAUUCAGCAGUACCACAACACCCCGAGGUGACACCCUGCCCGUGUCCCAGGUGGCACCCUAUUAUAAAUAGAGCACGACUGUCCUGAGCCUGGCCAAAAGUAGUGCACUACAUAGGGAAUAGUGUGCAUUUGGGAUGUCACCCUUUUAAAACGCUCCUGUUAAAUAAUGAACCAUCCCAGUCCCUACUGUCUCCAUCUGCUUAGAGUUAAACAACCAGGUGGAUAAUGACCCAUCCCAGUCCCUACUGUCUCCAUCUGCUUAGACAACCAGGUGGAUAAUGACCCAUCCCAGUCCCUACUGUCUCCAUCUGCUUAGAGUUAAACAACCAGGUGGAUAAUGACCCAUCCCAGUCCCUACUGUCUCCAUCUGCUUAGACAACCAGGUGGAUAAUGACCCAUCCCAGUCCCUACUGUCUCCAUCUGCUUAGACAACCAGGUGGAUAAUGACCCAUCCCAGUCCCUACUGUCUCCAUCUGCUUAGACAACCAGGUGGAUAAUGACCCAUCCCAGUCCCUACUGUCUCCAUCUGCUUAGAGUUAAACAACCAGGUGGAUAAUGACCCAUCCCAGUCCCUACUGUCUCCAUCUGCUUAGACAACCAGGUGGAUAAUGACCCAUCCCAGUCCCUACUGUCUCCAUCUGCUUAGACAACCAGGUGGAUAAUGACCCAUCCCAGUCCCUACUGUCUCCAUCUGCUUAGACAACCAGGUGGAUAAUGACCCAUCCCAGUCCCUACUGUCUCCAUCUGCUUAGAGUUAAACAACCAGGUGGAUAAUGACCCAUCCCAGUCCCUACUGUCUCCAUCUGCUUAGACAACCAGGUGGAUAAUGACCCAUCCCAGUCCCUACUGUCUCCAUCUGCUUAGACAACCAGGUGGAUAAUGACCCAUCCCAGUCCCUACUGUCUCCAUCUGCUUAGAGUUAAACAACCAGGUGGAUAAUGACCCAUCCCAGUCCCUACUGUCUCCAUCUGCUUAGACAACCAGGUGGAUAAUGACCCAUCCCAGUCCCUACUGUCUCCAUCUGCUUAGACAACCAGGUGGAUAAUGACCCAUCCCAGUCCCUACUGUCUCCAUCUGCUUAGAGUUAAACAACCAGGUGGAUAAUGACCCAUCCCAGUCCCUACUGUCUCCAUCUGCUUAGACAACCAGGUGGAUAAUGACCCAUCCCAGUCCCUACUGUCUCCAUCUGCUUAGAGUUAAACAACCAGGUGGAUAAUGACCCAUCCCAGUCCCUACUGUCUCCAUCUGCUUAGACAACCAGGUGGAUAAUGACCCAUCCCAGUCCCUACUGUCUCCAUCUGCUUAGAGUUAAACAACCAGGUGGAUAAUGACCCAUCCCAGUCCCUACUGUCUCCAUCUGCUUAGACAACCAGGUGGAUAAUGACCCAUCCCAGUCCCUACUGUCUCCAUCUGCUUAGACAACCAGGUGGAUAAUGACCCAUCCCAGUCCCUACUGUCUCCAUCUGCUUAGAGUUAAACAACCAGGUGGAUAAUGACCCAUCCCAGUCCCUACUGUCUCCAUCUGCUUAGACAACCAGGUGGAUAAUGACCCAUCCCAGUCCCUACUGUCUCCAUCUGCUUAGACAACCAGAUGGAUAAUGACCCAUCCCAGUCCCUACUGUCUCCCUCUGCUUAGAGUUAAACAACCAGAUGGAUAAUGACCCAUCCCAGUCCCUACUGUCUCCAUCUGCUUAGA